rnacentral:lncRNA from 1 species
AAAGGUCUAUAUUCAUGCGUGUUUUACUGAAAAAUUAUAUUUUGUAUUUGUACGCAUGUGCAUUUUUGUUAUUUGUGCCACUUUCUCAGUCUUAAAAAAAAUUAAGUGGAGGUUUGUGUUAUGAAUACUUUGUAUGCUUCAAUUGAAUUAGCAAUUAUGUUAUGUGAUUUUGUUAAUUAUUAUAGAGCUCUUUGACAUGAUUAUCAUG